ACGCUCGACACCUACGGGAGGUAGCAGUGGGGAAUAUUGCACAAUGGGGGAAACCCUGAUGCAGCGACGCCGCGUGGAGGAAGAAGGUCUUCGGAUUGUAAACUCCUGUUGUUGGGGAAAAAGAGGAUGGUACCCAACAAGGAAGUGACGGCUAACUACGUGCCAGCAGCCGGCGGUAAUCUGAGGCGGGCUGGCAAGGC
rnacentral:rRNA from 1 species